rnacentral:rRNA from 1 species
UCCGAGUUGUAAUUUGUAGAGGAUGUUUUGGGUACCGCCCCGGUUUAAAUUUCUUGGAACAGAAUGUCAGAGAGGGUGAGAAUCCCGUCUUGGACCGGUGGUAGGGCCUGUGUAAAACUCCUUCGACGAGUCGAGUUGUUUGGGAAUGCAGCUCAAAAUGGGUGGUAAAUUUCAUCUAAAGCUAAAUAUUGGCCAGAGACCGAUAGCGCACAAGUAGAGUGAUCGAAAGAUGAAAAGAACUUUGAAAAGAGAGUUAAACAGUAUGUGAAAUUGUUGAAAGGGAAGCGCUUGCAACCAGACUUGAGCGCGACGGUUCCCCUAGCCUUUUGGCUAGGUUACUCCGUCGUGUCCAGGCCAACAUCGGUUCUGAGGGUCGGUCAAAGGCCCCGGGAAUGUACCUACCCACGGGUAGACUUAUAGACCGGGGUGUCAUGCGGCCUCUCGGGACCGAGGAACGCGCUUCGGCUCGGAUGUUGGCGUAAUGGUUGUCAGCGACCCGUCUUGAAACACGGACCAAGGAGUCUAACAUCUAUGCGAGUGUUUGGGUGUCAAACCCGGAACGCGGAAUGAAAGUGAACGGAGGUAGGAAGCUUCGGCUGCACUAUCGACCGAUCCUGAAGUUUACGGAUGGAUUUGAGUAAGAGCAUAGCUGUUGGGACCCGAAAGAUGGUGAACUAUGCCUGAAUAGGGUGAAGCCAGAGGAAACUCUGGUGGAGGCUCGCAGCGGUUCUGACGUGCAAAUCGAUCGUCAAAUUUGGGUAUAGGG